ACGAACGCUGGCGGCACGCUUAACACAUGCAAGUCGAACGGAGUUUAGAGAGCUUGCUUUUAAAACUAGUGGCGGACGGGUGAGUAACACGUGAGCAAUCUGCCUUUCAGAGGGGGAUAGCAGUUGGAAACGACUGAUAAUACCGCAUAAUAUAGUAGGAUCGCAUGAUUUAACUAUCAAAGAUUUAUCGCUGAAAGAUGAGCUCGCGUCUGAUUAGAUAGUUGGUGAGGUAACGGCUCACCAAGUCGACGAUCAGUAGCCGGACUGAGAGGUUGAACGGCCACAUUGGGACUGAGACACGGCCCAGACUCCUACGGGAGGCAGCAGUGGGGAAUAUUGCACAAUGGGCGCAAGCCUGAUGCAGCGAUGCCGCGUGAGGGAAGAAGGUUUUAGGAUUGUAAACCUCUGUCUUCAGGGACGAUAAUGACGGUACCUGAGGAGGAAGCUCCGGCUAACUACGUGCCAGCCGCCGC
rnacentral:rRNA from 1 species